rnacentral:rRNA from 1 species
AGGAUUGACAGAUUGAAAGCUCUUUCUUGAUUCGGUGGGUGGUGGUGCAUGGCCGUUCUUAGUUGGUGGAGCGAUUUGUCUGGUUAAUUCCGAUAACGAACGAGACUCUAGCCUAUUAAAUAGUUCGCCCGUGCACGUCUGGCGGGCGCCAACUUCUUAGAGGGACAAGUGGCUUUUAGCCACGCGAGAUUGAGCAAUAACAGGUCUGUGAUGCCCUUAGAUGUUCGGGGCCGCACGCGCGCUACACUGAAGCAAUCAGCGUGUCUCUCUCCUGGUCCGGAAGGAUUGGGCAACCAGCUGAACCUGUUUCGUGAUAGGGACUGGGGCUUGCAAUUGUUCCCCAAGAACGAGGAAUUCCUAGUAGGCGCGAGUCAUGAGCUCGCGUCGAUUACGUCCCUGCCCUUUGUACACACCGCCCGUCG